CUCGUGUAGUGAAGACGUUCUUUCUGGACUUAUUGAUACAGUGAACUAUUGAUCUCUACAGACUCAGUGUUCUCAGGAUGAUUGACAGGGAGAAGAUGAUCUGCAGCAUCCUGCUGCUCAUCACACUGACCUCCUGUGUCUCUGGAUCAUUUGUAGUGAAUGUGACACAGAGCUCCUAUCAGGCAGAGGAGAACCACGACAUCACACUGGAAUGGACGUUCUCACCCAGAAGAGACGGUUCCACCA